rnacentral:rRNA from 1 species
GACGUAGGGGGCCAGCGUUGUUCGGAAUUACUGGGUGUAAAGGGUUCGUAGGCGGUGUAGCAAGUCGGGAGUGAAAUCUCUGGGCUUAACCCAGAGGCUGCUUCCGAAACUGCUGUGCUUGAGUGUGGGAGAGGCGCGUGGAAUUGCAGGUGUAGCGGUGAAAUGCGUAGAUAUCUCCAGGAACACCCGUGGCGAAAGCGGCGCGCUGGACCACUACUGACGCUGAGGAACGAAAGCUAGGGGAGCAAACAGG